GGAGGGAUGCCCGAGUGGCUAAAGGGGGCGGACUGUAAAUCCGUUGGCAGUGCCUACGAUGGUUCGAAUCCAUCUCCCUCCA
rnacentral:tRNA from 1 species